CAUAAGUUGUGAAUGAACC
rnacentral:miRNA from 1 species